UCGAGGGGUAUAGUUCUUCGGAAUUAGAGACCGGCGCACGGGUGCGUAACGCGUAUGCAAUCUACCUUUUACAGAGGGAUAGCCCAGAGAAAUUUGGAUUAAUACCUCAUAGUAUGGCGACAUCGCAUGAUGAUGCCAUUAAAGACACAACGGUAAAAGAUGAGCAUGCGUCCCAUUAGCUAGUUGGUAAGGUAACGGCUUACCAAGGCUACGAUGGGUAGGGGUCCUGAGAGGGAGAUCCCCCACACUGGUACUGAGACACGGACCAGACUCCUACGGGAGGCAGCAGUGAGGAAUAUUGGACAAUGGGCGCAAGCCUGAUCCAGCCAUGCCGCGUGCAGGAUGACGGUCCUAUGGAUUGUAAACUGCUUUUGUACGGGAAGAAACACUCCUUCGUGAAGGAGCUUGACGGUACCGUGAGAAUAAGGAUCGGCUAACUCCGUGCCAGCAGCCACGGUAAUACGGAGGAUCCAAGCGUUAUCCGGAAUCAUUGGGUUUAAAGGGUCCGUAGGCGGUUUAGUAAGUCAGUGGUGAAAGCCCAUCGCUCAACGGUGGAACGGCCAUUGAUACUGCUAGACUUGAAUUAUUAGGAAGUAACUAGAAUAUGUAGUGUAGCGGUGAAAUGCUUAGAGAUUACAUGGAAUACCAAUUGCGAAGGCAGGUUACUACUAAUGGAUUGACGCUGAUGGAC
rnacentral:rRNA from 1 species